GAUCUCACAAAUUUAUAUAAUCACAAAUUGAUCUUUAAUUUAAUGCUUGGAAGUUGCCAUUCCCGUGCACCUUCCACAGCCCGGUUGCAGAAACAUGU
rnacentral:snoRNA from 1 species